AGAGUUUGAUCCUGGCUCAGGAUGAACGCUGGCGGCGUGCUUAACACAUGCAAGUCGAACGAACCUUCGGGUUAGUGGCGGACGGGUGAGUAACGCGUGAGAAUCUGCCCUCAGGAGGGGGAUAACGGUUGGAAACGACCGCUAAUACCCCAUAUGCCUACUGGUGAAACGAAUUUCGCCUGAGGAUGAGCUCGCGUCUGAUUAGCUAGUUGGUGAGGUAAUGGCUCACCAAGGCUUCGAUCAGUAGCUGGUCUGAGAGGAUGAUCAGCCACACUGGGACUGAGACACGGCCCAGACUCCUACGGGAGGCAGCAGUGGGGAAUUUUCCGCAAUGGGCGAAAGCCUGACGGAGCAACGCCGCGUGAGGGACGAAGGCCUCUGGGCUGUAAACCUCUUUUCUCAAGGAAGAAGAUAUGACGGUACUUGAGGAAUAAGCCACGGCUAAUUCCGUGCCAGCAGCCGCGGUAAUACGGGAGUGGCAAGCGUUAUCCGGAAUUAUUGGGCGUAAAGCGUCCGCAGGCGGCUUUUCAAGUCUGCUGUUAAAACGUGGAGCUUAACUCCAUCAUGGCAGUGGAAACUGAAAGGCUUGAGUAUGGUAGGGGCAGAGGGAAUUCCCGGUGUAGCGGUGAAAUGCGUAGAUAUCGGGAAGAACACCAGUGGCGAAGGCGCUCUGCUGGGCCAUUACUGACGCUCAUGGACGAAAGCCAGGGGAGCGAAAGGGAUUAGAUACCCCUGUAGUCCUGGCCGUAAACGAUGAACACUAGGUGUCGGGGGAAUCGACCCCUUCGGUGUCGUAGCUAACGCGUUAAGUGUUCCGCCUGGGGAGUACGCACGCAAGUGUGAAACUCAAAGGAAUUGACGGGGGCCCGCACAAGCGGUGGAGUAUGUGGUUUAAUUCGAUGCAACGCGAAGAACCUUACCAGGGUUUGACAUCCUGCGAACCUCUUAGAAAUUUGAGGGUGCCUUCGGGAAUGCAGUGACAGGUGGUGCAUGGCUGUCGUCAGCUCGUGUCGUGAGAUGUUGGGUUAAGUCCCGCAACGAGCGCAACCCACGUUUUUAGUUGCCAGCAUUUAGUUGGGCACUCUAGAAAGACCGCCGGUGAUAAACCGGAGGAAGGUGUGGAUGACGUCAAGUCAUCAUGCCCCUUACACCCUGGGCUACACACGUACUACAAUGCUACGGACAAAGGGCAGCAAACUCGCGAGAGCUAGCAAAUCCCAUAAACCGUGGCUCAGUUCAGAUCGUAGGCUGCAACUCGCCUACGUGAAGUAGGAAUCGCUAGUAAUCGCAGGUCAGCAUACUGCGGUGAAUACGUUCCCGGGCCUUGUACACACCGCCCGUCACACCAUGGAAGUUGGCCAUGCCCGAAGUCGUUACUCCAACCCUUGUGGAGGAGGACGCCGAAGGUGGGGCUAAUGACUGGGGUGAAGUCAUAACAAGGUAACCGUA
rnacentral:rRNA from 1 species